rnacentral:tRNA from 1 species
GAAAAAAUAAUUAAAUAAAAUAAUAUUAGUUUGUGGAACUAAGUUUAUUGGUUAAAAUCCAUUUUUUUUCC